UGCGCCUUCGCCCCUUCGCCCACCGGCCCCCCCCGCCGCCGACAUGUCGCUGGCCAUGGAGGAGGAGGAGUAUUCCCGGCUGGUGAUGGAGUCGGAGCCCGAGUGGCUGCGGAGCGAGAUCAAGCGGCUCUUCCAGGAGCUGGGCGAGACCACCCGGGAGAAGAUCCAGGCGGCGGAGUACGGGCUCGCCGUGCUGGAGGAGAAGCAGCAGCUGAAGCAGCAGUACGAGGAGCUGGAGCUGGAGUACGAGACCAUCCGCACCGAGAUGGAGCAGCUCAAGGAGGCUUUUGGACAGGCCCAUACCAACCACAAGAAGGUAGCAGCAGAUGGAGAGAGCAGAGAGGAGACCUUGAUCCAGGAAUCAGCUACCAAAGAAGAAUACUACAUGAAGAAGGUUAUGGAGUUGCAGACGGAACUGAAGCAGAUCAGAAAUGUCCUUGCCAACACACAGUCUGAAAACGAACGCCUUAAUUCCGUCUCGCAGGAACUGAAGGAGGUCAACCAGAAUGUGGAGAUCCAAAGGGCCCGUCUGCGAGAUGAUAUUAAGGAAUAUAAGUUUCGAGAAGCACGCUUGCUGCAAGACUAUACUGAGCUAGAAGAGGAAAACAUCUGUCUCCAGAAACAAGUGUCUGUCCUCAAGCAAAAUCAGGUGGAGUUUGAAGGCCUGAAACAUGAAAUCAAAAGGCUUGAAGAGGAAACUGAGUUUCUCAACAGCCAGCUGGAAGAUGCCAUCCGCCUGAAGGAGAUCUCCGAGCGCCAGCUGGAGGAGGCCUUGGAGACGCUGAAGACGGAGCGGGAGCAGAAGAACAACCUUCGGAAGGAGCUGUCCCACUACAUGAACAUCAACGAUUCCAUGUACAACAGCCACCUGAACAUCUCUUUGGAUGGGCUGAAGUUCAGCGACGAAGCCACGGAGCCCAACAAUGAUGAAAUCAUGAACGGCUUUGAGCAGAACUGCCUCAGCAAACUCAGCAACGGCAAGAACAGCACUUCCACGCCCAAGAAGAACGAAAGCUUCCCUCCCGCCCCAAGUCUGGUUUCAGAUCUUCUGAGUGAGUUAAACAUUUCUGAAAUCCAGAAGCUGAAACAGCAGCUUGUGCAGAUGGAAAGAGAAAAGGUAAACUUGUUAACAACGCUACAGGAAUCUCAGAAGCAGCUGGAAAAUACACGGGGGGCCCUCUCAGAGCAGCAUGAGAAAGUUGGCAGGCUCACUGAAAACCUGAAUGCCAUGAAGAAGCUCCAGGCCAGCAAGGAGCAUCAGUCUGCCCUUGACAACGAGAAGGACCGAGACAGCCACGAAGAUGGAGACUAUUAUGAGGUUGACAUCAAUGGGCCAGAGAUCCUGGAGUGCAAGUACAAGGUGGCCAUGGCAGAAACUACUGACCUAAAAGAAGAGCUCAAAAAUUUGAAGGCCAAAUAUAAAGAAUGCGAGUCUAAAUAUGAGGAAGAGAAGAGUAGAUAUGAGACUGAGAACCAAGCUCUCACUGAAAAGAUCACCUCGCUGGAAAAGUCAAGUAGGCAUGACAGAGAACAGGUGGCCAGGCUGGAGAAGGAGCUGAAGAAAGUCAGUGAUGUUGCUGGAGAAACACAGGGCAGCCUCAGCGUGGCCCAAGAUGAACUAGUCACCUUCAGUGAAGAGCUGGCCAAUUUAUACCACCAUGUCUGCAUGUGCAACAAUGAAACUCCAAACAGAGUAAUGCUGGACUACUACAAGGAAGGUAAAGGUGGGCGCAGUAGUCCAGAGGCCAAGGGAAGAAGGUCUCCCAUUCUUCUUUCUAAAGGGCUGUUAACUAUUGAGCUGGGAAAGGCAGAGAAUGGAAGUGGUGAGAGCAGCCCAUCCCCGGUGUCAUCUCUGCCAUCCCCUGUGUCCGAUCCUCGGAAGGAGCCGAUGAACAUUUACAACCUGAUCGCCAUAAUUCGGGACCAGAUCAAACACCUGCAGGCUGCUGUGGACAGAACAACCGAGCUGUCCAGGCAGCGUGUUGCCACUCAAGAACUUGGGCCCGCGGUGGACAAAGACAAGGAAGCCCUCAUGGAAGAAAUCCUGAAGCUGAAGUCCCUGCUGAGCACCAAGAGGGAACAGAUAGCAACCCUGAGAACUGUGCUGAAGGCCAACAAACAGACUGCAGAGGUAGCCCUUGCCAACUUAAAAAGCAAGUAUGAGAAUGAGAAAGCGAUGGUUACAGAGACCAUGAUGAAGCUGCGAAAUGAGCUGAAGGCUUUGAAAGAAGACGCCGCCACCUUCUCUUCCCUGAGAGCAAUGUUUGCUACAAGAUGUGACGAGUACGUCACGCAGCUGGAUGAAAUGCAGCGGCAACUCGCGGCGGCCGAGGACGAAAAGAAGACUCUGAACUCCUUGCUCCGGAUGGCCAUCCAGCAGAAACUGGCCUUGACCCAGCGCCUGGAGCACUUGGAGCUGGACCACGAGCAGUCCAAAAGGGUGCGCACAAAAUCCGCCUCCAAAGCCAAGGGCAGUAACCCCAGCGUAAGUCACGUUCGGUCCUGCGGAGACAGGUCUGAAGGGUCUGUCCUGAACAACCAGGUGUUCUAUAGUGAGAAAUAUAAAAUCUAUUGUGACUAGGACAGGUGUCUAGAAAAAAAUAAAAUCGUAUUCUGCAUCUUAUUUUAUGCUGUAACCGUCAGCAUAAAUCCCCACUAUCUAACGUCGCAGUGAGUUGUACUAGUAUGUUGUGGAACCAGGUAAUACUGAUUGUAUUAUGGUGUUCUUAACUGUAACUAAUGCAUAAGUAUGGGGAUGCUAUUAACAAGUUAAUAGUGGAAAGGAACUAGAUUUUUCCACAAUUAACAUGUCUGGGUUUUGCUGUUUAUGGUAAGUGUUAAGAGUACACCUGAUAGAGUAUAUCUGGUGUUACUAAUUGUAGUUUGUAUAGCACAAAUGUGAUCCUUUCUCCAGGGUUGCAGCAUACUUCAGUAAAUGCUUUCACAGGCAGAAACAAACAGAAAACCUUCCUUGUUAUUGUGGCUUAUGAAGUGGUGAAAAGCAAACAUCAAAAUUAGAGAGUAUUUGGAAACUGGAAUCAAACAAUUUGCCUGUUGUGAGAAAUGUUAAAAACUUGCUGUUGUAUCACCACUGACCAAAGUCCUAAAGCUUUUAUAGGCUAUAAAAGCUAGAAAAACACUUGGUAGGGUACAUUAUUUAUGCCCUGUUUCCCUCUCUUCAGAGGGAUAACCAGAAGAAACUUGCACAUUUAUAUUAAAAAUAUGCAAUAUUUUCCCCAUCUGAUAUAAAACUUAAAAGGUUUAAGAUUUGGGAUCCUACCUGGUACACAGUUCCACUUGAAGAAAUUAUGUCUUGAAAGGACCUUUGUGGUUUCAUGUUGCUCUUCACAAGCGUAACACUUUGGAAAGAACCUGUUUGAGGUAUCACUGUAGCCACACGACAUGUAUGUGUAGAAUUGAUGUGACUAUGGUCUAGCGUUGGUGGUCACAAACAGCUUUCAGUAUUAACCUAAAUAGGUAACAUUGCAGAGCUCUGAUCAUUUUUUUAAGGUACACAGAAGAUUUUGCAUUCUGUAUGCAAGCACGUGUUUCACAGGGCUCUACAUUAGAGGCACGGGAAAUUGAACCAGAUCAUCCUGCUGAUAAUGAUUUAUGAAGUAGCUUAGUAUACAUAUUAAUCUUUAAAAACAAAUAAACCUUUGUCUGCUUUUGAACUGCUAAGGGGCCUUUUUAGCCACUUAAUUACAAGAAGUUUGAUAGUCUAAAAGUGUACUUCGUAAUUGGUGCCUACAUAAGAGAAAAAAAGAUUGAAAACGUUGCUUCUAAAAUUGUGGAAAAUUUGUGGAGCGCCCUGCAAGGCACAGAUCUUUGUUUAACCCGGAGUUUCAAAGUGCCUAGCCUCAGACUUUUAUUUUAAUGUAAAGCCCUGUUCAUUUUGUACUCUGUUUCAAAGACUUUUGUAUGCCUGUAGUGUUACUAAAAAGCGGUCCCUAAAGCCGUUCUAACCCUCUGCUGUGGUUCUGCUCCUCUCCCCCGGCCCUGUAGAUGCUCAGCCCUUGCUCCCGCGCUGCCUCUGCCUAGUCAGGAGACAUCCCAGUGCUAACAGAAGCUGUAGAGUAGUCCCUGGAGAAGGCCUUUCCAACAGUGCAACAGCAUUUCUUAGCCUUCCUCACUCUGGUUCAAAGUGGUGGCCCAUUGCAGAGUGGAAACCACUGACCCGAUCCUAACUUUUGAAAACACCUUUUCCUAUAUACUACCUGAAACCUUCCCUUUCUGCCUGAAGCUAUGAAAAAACAAGCUUUACUUAUAAGUGCUGCUGCAGUAAGAAACCUUACAAGUGCUGAAGAAACCUACUUCAAAUGUAACGCUCACCAUGUUAGUGUGUGCUCUCCUAGAAAUGUCGGAUGGGGGAAUUUAUUUCAUUGCAGAUGCUCUUUUUUUUUUUUUACCUGAUUGUUAAACCUGUGCACUUUUGAUAUUUUUCUUUAGCUUCUUUAAUUCCUUAUGUAGAAGAGUUUAUAUAAAUGCAGUGGUUUUGUGCUCAUAGUCUCUCUCCAAUUUGGAACUUGUGAUUUAUGAAUUAUAUAUCAGCAUGUGGCAGAGAUUUUGGGGGGGCUCUAGAUUGUGAUUAGAAAAGAGUUUCAACAAAAAACAGGAGCUCUGCUAAACUAUGUGCUGUGCUUCAGCAUCUUUUUUUAUUAUUAUAAAAUGUUAAGCUUUAUAUGUUUAAAUUACUGAUUUUCUUUUUAACUGCCAUGUUCAUUAAGAAAUCCAGGGUAUUCAAAUUCUGGGGUUUUUUUCAUAUUGUAUUAUUAUUCUUAGGAAUAGUUCAAUGUAACAAGAAGAAAACUUGACUUUGUUCUGGUUAAAACAGUAAUAGGCACUUGAAAAAUAUUAAAUAAGUAGUAUUACCUAUAAAUUCCAGAAUUCCUGGGUUUUAGGAAGUCGAAGUAUUAUUGAUUAACAGAAUUUUAUACAACUAUACCAGUGAAAUUCCAAAUUGGAAUUGUUGUGUUACUUUUUCAUUUUAUUGUGCCAAAUUGUGGUACAUUUAGAAAGAAAAAUUCUAAAGUGGUCAAUGAUAGGGUGUUAUCUAUCAGCGCCUUUCUGUCACUCAUUAUUGCCAGUAGUGCCUUUGAUCAUUUGAAGGGAGACUCUUAGAGUAGCGUUCGGCCAAGUCCUGUCCCUUAGGAGGAGUGAAAUGGCUGGUGUUGGAAUUUACUGAAGAUGUGGAGCAAUAAGUGCAAAGUGAACUCCCCUUUCGCACAUUUUUAACGGUAGUCUUACUUAGAGAGAUUAUAUAUUCGAGGAAUUGUAAAAAAUUCUGUUAGUCAAUGAUAUUUCAUCGUGCAAAUUCAGGGGUAGAGAGAAACAAACAAACAAACAAACAGAAACCACAAAGCUGAACGAGCCCGACUGCAGGUCGGGAACCAAAUGGCCUCACGUUGGACAGCUGAGUGAUGCAGGGGCACAGCCCCGGGUGGAACCUCGCGCUCCCGGGCGCUGCGCGGGCGUGGGCGGCACAUCCACAUCUCCUCUUGCAUGUCGGACCCGAGUGUGAUUUCAGCAAACAGAAACGCUGGGGAAGCGCCUCAACCAGCCCUGCUGGGCUCGUUGAGGCUCCUGGGAAUGAUUAAAUUGGUACUUGGGCUGGAGGGGGGAGGAGUUCUCCCGCUCCUCAAAAAAAAAAAAAAUCAAAAAGGACAAAUUGAACCAAUAUUGCUGGCGCGGAAGAGGUUUCUGUUUGCUGGAAAAAGCAUUAUUAUUCCUAGAUGUGGGGACUUAUAUUUCCAUCUUCUGUUACAGUAUUGAUUCAUAAGAAAUAUUGUUGCAUUUAAAAUUACUACAUUUGUAUGUGGGUAUUUAUUUGAAAUGAUGUCAAAGUACUGUAUUAUGUUCUAUGUGCAUUACCUUUUAGUGGUGGGUUGGUCUCCAUUUAACGUCGUAUGCAUGUAAUCUUGCCAAGUAACCUUUACACAGAUCUGAGUAAAAAAAAAAAAAAGAGAGAAAAUGUGAGAACUUCUUAAAAGGAUAACUGCGUGUUAAUUGGAUAACCUUAGGAGGGGGUAGAGG